rnacentral:rRNA from 1 species
GACGAACGCUGGCGGCGCGCUUAACACAUGCAAGUCGAGCGAGAACCCUCCUUCGGGAGGGGGACAGCGGCGAACGGGUGAGUAACACGUGGGUAAUCUGCCCUCGGUUCUGGGAUAGCCCGGGGAAACCCGGAUUAAUACCGGAUAGCCUCUCGAGCUCUCGGGCUCGUGAGAAAAGGUAGCUUCGGCCUCCGAUCGAGGAGGAGCCCGCGGCGGAUUAGCUUGUUGGUGGGGUAACGGCCCACCAAGGCGACGAUCCGUAGCUGGUCUGAGAGGACGAUCAGCCACACUGGGACUGAGACACGGCCCAGACUCCUACGGGAGGCAGCAGUGGGGAAUCUUGCGCAAUGGGCGAAAGCCUGACGCAGCGACGCCGCGUGAGGGAAGAAGGCCUUC